UCCAUCUUUCUGAGCCAGAGCAGGAAUUUAUGGGGGUACCAGGCUGCUGUUCGUAAAGCGCUGCUAUGCACACUGUGUUAGAAGGCUCUGGGUUGGAAGACAGCCAGUGUCUUUUGCAAAAGUUAAAUGGAUUUUGGGUUAGAGGCUUAGGAACGGGAUGAUAUUGCAAAAGAAAGGAGAACUGGACAGGAUUGCCUGAGAAUAGGGUGGCUGUGGUCGCUAUUAAGGGGAGGGGAACACCCCCACCCCCCCAACUUUAGCCUGUUAAACAGUAGCUACUUUGCUGUUUAUUGUUUUCAUAAACCAUAACCAAUUUGGUUUUUAUCACUGUAGGAGGUUCUUGCCACCACCUUCAUCCCUGGCACACUUGAGUCCUCCUCUUCUUUCCUGGCUGGAGACUUCUGCUUCAUCAGUUGUGGUGAAUCAACUCUCUGUAUAUGGCUACGGAGCCAAACGCUCUGUUAAAGGGAGCAAAAAUAACACUACAUGUAUUUACCCCUGGUUUUUAUUAUUUCAAAUUAAUUACAGGGAUGUUUAUGAGGCAGGGUUGCUGACCGCACAAAUAUAGGUUGUUCGUAAUACAUAUAGUCUGGGAGAAACUAUAAUUGCUAUGCUAAAUAUAAUUUAUUCUGUGGUUCCAUUCAGCUGUAUAUUUAAUUUUAUUUUUCCAUUCGUCUUCUAGGGCACUAGUAAACAUUCUUCCAAGCAGGGAUAGUAAUGAUGAGACAGUAAUUGUCUGAGUAAAUUAUCCAAGCGGCCUUUCUGUCUUGUUUUGGUUUUUUUUGGUUUGGGUUUUUUUUUCACUUCCUACAUUUCUGGUGUCCUCUGGCAUCAGAACAGAAGUAUAUGUUAGACCUAGGCUAUGUAAAUGAAAAGUUCUGUCUACGUUACAAUUAAGAACAUGUCAAGUCACAUGGUUUCCACUUGACCAGCUACAGCAGUGUUGUUUUGCAAGUAAGGUUUUAACUGUGUUGCAAGUGUGAAGUCCUGAACUGACCAAAUCUGUAGUAACUGGGUCACCUGCCGCAGUGGUUUUUGUGACAUAGGUCCUGGGAAUAUUUGCAGAAGGAAGAAUGCUGUAAUUGCAUAGCUGUACCAGUAUUUAUGUUGACACUGAAGCUUCAAGACGCAUAUUCAGGAAGCAGGAACAAUACCAUGUGUAACUAGGGUUUACAUCUUAAUGGGCUUUUUGCACCCUGAGAGCAUUGACAUUGCCCACUGUUGGAGGAAGAGAAUUGGCAGCUGCAGCGUACGGAGCUGCGGGACCCCAGGAAGAGAUGGCUGUACCGCUGGGUGGCUCGCUGUGACACCAGCCAACAGUUCCUGGCCUGUGGAGCUGGUGGCUACGUGCGUGACGGAAUUAUUUAUGCAGGUUUCCUUUCAGUGGAAGCUCUUUGAGAAGGCGCAGUGAGUGAUCUUUGGCUACUGCUCUUGGAGAUGAGAGCUCAACUCCCCGCAGAGACUAACGCCCUCUGCUUUGUGCACGGCGCUCUCUGCACUCUUGCACCGGAGGAAGCACGCCAGUACGAGGAGGAGUUGGAUGCAGGCAUAGUGGCAUUUACUGGGAAGGUUACUUUUAAGCAAGCUCCCAUGUGGCCAAAGCAGUGCUUGCAGCAGCAUUGGAACACAUGAGUUGCAUACAGGUAAGGAGAGAAGGAGGGGAGACUGCCUUUUUCUGACACCACCGCAGCCUAAAGCGCUCCUGGAACUGUCAUUUCAUUGUGCUCGCCACUUUCGUAUAAGGAGCAAUUCAUCCGCUGAAGAAAUUGCAUCAUGAGUGAAUAAAGUUGAAGUGUGGGAGCAAGGAAAUCUCUCCUCUGAUUUCUGCCGGGGAAAUUGAGGCUCAGAGAAUUAAAUGACUUGCCUAAGAGUAGAAAGGCUGACUUGCCAAGAGCCAAAUUCCAGCCUCCUGAAUCAUAGCCUUGUGCCUUAUCCACCAGACCAACCUUUCUCUGUUAGCACUUCCUUUCUCUCCACCCUGUUUUGAGAGGAGGCACAGCAGCCCUGUUCUAUGUCAAACAAACUCCAAGCGUGACACAGGAAGGCUUCCAGCAGAACGGCUUGAACAACCUUUGAGUUUAUCGUUAAUCUGGAAGCCAUGACUUUUCUGGGAAUGGUUCCUGCAU